rnacentral:rRNA from 1 species
UACGUAGGUGGCAAGCGUUGUCCGGAUUUACUGGGCGUAAAGAGCGCGCAGGCGGUCGUCCAAGUCGCGUGUGAAAGCCCCCGGCUCAACUGGGGAGGGUCACGCGAUACUGGUCGACUCGAAGGCAGGAGAGGGUAGUGGAAUUCCCGGUGUAGUGGUGAAAUGCGUAGAUAUCUGGAGGAACACCGGUGGCGAAGGCGGCGUCCUGGACCAACACUGACACUGAUGAGCGAAAGCCAGGGGAGCAAACGGG